rnacentral:rRNA from 1 species
UAGGGAAUCUUCCACAAUGGACGCAAGUCUGAUGGAGCAACGCCGCGUGAGUGAAGAAGGCUUUCGGGUCGUAAAACUCUGUUAUUGAAGAAGAACGUGUGUGACAGUAACUGGUCAUGCAGUGACGGUAUUCAAUCAGAAAGUCACGGCUAACUACGUGCCAGCAGCCGCGGUAAUACGUAGGUGGCAAGCGUUGUCCGGAUUUAUUGGGCGUAAAGCGAGUGCAGGCGGUCUUUUAAGUCUGAUGUGAAAGCCUUCGGCUUAACCGAAGAAGGGCAUCGGAAACUGGGAGACUUGAGUGCAGAAGAGGAGAGUGGAACUCCGUGUGUAGCGGUGAAAUGCGUAGAUAUAUGGAAGAACACCAGUGGCGAAGGCGGCUCUCUGGUCUGUAACUGACGCUGAGGCUCGAAAGCGUGGGUAGCAAACAGGAUUAGAUACCCUGGUAGUCCACGCCGUAACGAUGAAUACUAAGUGUUGGAGGGUUUCCGCCCUUCAGUGCUGCAGCUAACGCAUUAAGUAUUCCGCCUGGGGAGUACGACCGCAAGGUUGAAAC